UGGGGAAUAUUGGACAAUGGGCGAAAGCCUGAUCCAGCGACGCCGCGUGUCGGAAGGAGUCCUUCGGGAUGUAAACGACUUUUGGUGGAGACAAAUAAGCAGCUCAGGGAAUGGGGCUGUGAUGACGGUAUCCAUGGAAUAAGCCCCGGCUAACUACGUGCCAGCAGCCGCGGUAAGACGUAGGGGGCAAGCGUUACCCGGAAUUACUGGGUGUAAAGGGAGCGUAGGCGGGAGGUCAAGUCCGGUGUGAAAGACCCUGGCUCAACCAGGGAUUAGGGCUGGAAACUGACAAUCUUGAGUACAGCAGAGGAAGAGGGAAUUAUCGGUGUAGGGGUGAAAUCCGUAGAGACCGGUAAGAAGGCCAGUGGCGAAGGCGCUUUUCUGGGCUGUUACUGACGCUGAGGCUCGAAAGCCAGGGGAGCAAACCG
rnacentral:rRNA from 1 species